rnacentral:rRNA from 1 species
AAAUCCUAAGGCCGGCGGAAGAAUUGCAGUUAAGGAACUAGGCAAAUUGACCCCGUAAGUUCGCGAGAAGGGGUGCCUGCGAGAGCAGGCCGCAGAGAAUAGGCCCAAGCAACUGUUUAGCAAAAACACAGGUCUCUGCUAAAGCGCAAGCUGAUGUAUAGGGGCUGACGCCUGCCCGGUGCUGGAAGGUUAAGGGGAACACUUAGCGCAAGCGAAGGUGUGAACCUAAGCCCCAGUAAACGGCGGCCGUAACGAUAACGGUCCUAAGGUAGCGAAAUUCCUUGUCAGGUAAGUUCUGACCCGCACGAAUGGCGUAAUGACUUGGGCACUGUCUCAACUGCAAAUCCGGCGAAGUUGUAGUGCGAGUGAAGAUGCUCGCUACCCGCAAUUGGACGGAAAGACCCCGUAGAGCUUUACUGCAGCUUAGCAUUGAAUCUCGGUAUUGUCUGUACAGGAUAGGUGGGAGACUGGGAAACUAGGGCGUCAGCCUUAGUGGAGUCAACCUUGGGAUACCACCCUGACAGUACUGGGGUUCUAACAGGACGCCAUGAAUCUGGUGACUGGACAUUGUUAGGUGGGCAGUUUGACUGGGGCGGUCGCCUCCUAAAAAGUAACGGAGGCGCCCAAAGGUUCCCUCAGAACGGUCGGAAAUCGUUCGAAGAGUGCAAAGGCAGAAGGGAGCCUGACUGCGAGACCUACAAGUCGAGCAGGGACGAAAGUCGGGCUUAGUGAUCCGGUGGUACCUCGUGGGAGGGCCAUCGUUCAACGGAUAAAAGCUACCUCGGGGAUAACAGGCUGAUCUCCCCCAAGAGUCCACAUCGACGGGGAGGUUUGGCACCUCGAUGUCGGCUCGUCGCAUCCUGGGGCUGUAGUAGGUCCCAAGGGUUGGGCUGUUCGCCCAUUAAAGCGGCACGCGAGCUGGGUUCAGAACGUCGUGAGACAGUUCGGUCCCUAUCCGUCGCGGGCGUAGGAAAUUUGAGAGGAGCUGUCCUUAGUACGAGAGGACCGGGAUGGACUGACCUCUGGUGCACCAGUUGUUCCGCCAGGAGCAUGGCUGGGUAGCUAAGUCGGGAAGGGAUAAACGCUGAAAGCAUCUAAGCGUGAAGCCUACCUCAAGAUGAGAUUUCCCAUAGCAUAAGCUAGUAAGACCCCUUGAAGAACACAAGGUUGAUAGGUCAGAGGUGUAAGUGCAGUAAUGUAUUUAGCUGACUGAUACUAAUAGGUCGAGGGCUUGACUA